ensembl:lncRNA
UAGCCCUCUUCUCUCUCACCUAUGGGAAGCGGCUGUGCUUUUUAGUGGGGAAUUUUUAGAUGUAGAGGCAAGCAAUUUUUUCCACUGUAGGGCUGAACUGGGACCGAUCUCACUGCCACCAACAGGGCUUACUUUUGUGCCAUGGCCUUUGCAGUCUUAUGGAUUCAUUUCACACUGUUUGCUACUCCUCAGUUGCAGCAAGGAGCCUCCUGCCACCAUCCCCACCAGCAGGUAGCACAGAAGUGCCCUGCCCUGCUUUCUCCCAGUGAGAAGGGAGAUAGGGAGAUGUGAGAAGACAACUCCCUUUCUGUUCACACAUUUAUUCACAGCUACUGUUACCACAGACAUCUUCAUUUCUCAUCUUAUGAGUCUGCAGGACUUGGCACUGGAACAAUGUGUCACCAGCUUCUAAAAUCUGAGAAGUGGAGACAAGAAACUGGGAGCAGCUAACUCUGCACUGCCAUGCAAAUGGAUACGUCAUGGGCAGAGAUGACCCAGCUUUGAUAUGUCUUCCAAUUCUAUAAAGUGAGCAUAAAAAGGUAUUACCACAGACUAGUUCAGGACCAUGUUCUUAAUGCGUUAUUUUUUUGUUGUUGCCUGUUUUUUUGUUGCACUAUGAAGAACCAGGACAAAUUUUCUGUCAUGGCCACUACAUUUUUUGUUGUUUAUCUCCUCUGUAUUUGCUAUGAUUUUGGGUUAUAUGCUUUAUCCAACAGUUUGGCAACUGCAGUUACAACAGUCUAACAGGUUCAAGGUAGGUCUUAAAUGUAUUCAUAAGUGAAAGAUAAUUAAUACUUUCUAUAUUUUACAUGGUUAGAUCAAUUUGUUUUUACAGUUCAUUACCAUUACUGACUUUUUAAGAAUGGCUUCACACCAGUCUGAGGCUCCUCAGCAAAGUCAGUGUUCAAAAACACCACCACCUGAGGAAAACAAUCUGAAAAGAAAGAGAUUGGUCCCUCAUUACUGGAGUGAACAUCUUCAUCAUUACUUCUGUAAGUGAGAAGACCAUAAUGCCAAAUAUUGUCUUCAGACCACUGAGACAGCAAUCUCAGUCAUAACAUCCCAGUGGCAAAAUAAGAAAAUUAAGAAUCUGUAAAUACAGGCUUCUAAAGAACAUGUGUGAGUCAGAGCUGAUGCAAAGAUUUCUAAUUUCCUGGGUGAAUGCACGGCUUGGCUUGAGCAACAUUCCUUCUGGAUCCACUUAAAGUUUAAUGCUCUCCAAAUAGAAGUGGAGACAAAUAACCCAGAUACGCAAAGUAAAACCCACAUGUAAUUAAUACACUCAAUUGUUCUACCUAUCAGGGAUGGAAUAACCACGCACUGUGAAAAAUUACUCCAUUACCUUAAAUAGCUUUGCCCUUUUCCUCUCCCUCUGCCAUGUUCUUACACUUUGUGUUAUUCUGAAGAGUGUCAUUAAAAUCCAACAUGUAUUUAUUAUAAUUAAAAUAAAGUACAAUUACUUGGGAAAUAUAUUUCUAAGGAAUAUCAACUUAGAAAGAGAAAUUGCCCUAUUUUCUUCCUUUAUUCACAUUUCAUCUCAAUUUAGAAACCUUGAUGUAGAAAGCAUGAAAAAAAUACAGAUAAUUACAUAUUGUUCGAUACAGUGACUCAGCUGGCAAAGUUUCCAAGUUUCCAGACGUAGACUGAGAUAUCCCCAGGAAAGAACAAUCAAUAUAAAUUAAAUAUUACAUAAAAUUACACUUUAAAAUGUGCCAGGGUGCAGGUGAGAAUGGACCUUUCAUUGUUAGUUUCUAUCUAGGUAAGAUUUCUGAUUGACUUACUUGGGAUUCUAAGCUUCUAUUUCUGAAGGUGACCUAUGCAGUUCAUGCCUUCCAGAAGGAGUUAAGUAUCUCAUUCUUUUCAGAUUUUUUUUUUUUUUUUGCUAUAUGCCUGUCUUUAGAUACAUAAACAUCUUUGUAAAUCUGGUCCUAGACGUCUACACUGUUUUAGAAAAAAGAAUAUUGUGUACUUAACCAAGUAUCUAGAGUGACUGAAUAUUAAACUUGACUUCAUCAUAAAAAGUUGGACUGCAAUAAAAGACAAAAAUUAAAACAGAUACUUUAUUGCCUGUAUUACUGCAGAAAUUCCUUUUUAAAAAUUCAGGCAAAAUUAUUUGGAAGGAAAAUCUCCUUAAGGACGCAUUUCUAAGUGAAAAAUCUCUCUAUCCCUUUAUGAAUGAAAUCAAGCACGAGGCAGGAGGCUGGCACGACUGAGCAGUGACACACUGGUGAACCUGAAGGAUAAAAAGGAAACGCAUAAGUGGUAAAAGCUGUGAUGUGUGAUCUGGAAAGAGUACAGGGCACACCGUUCGGAAGUACAGAGUUGGGAUGAGGAAAGCCAAAACACAGAUGGAAUUGAACUUAGCAAGAAUUGUGAAAAAUAACAAGGAUUCUACAGGCACAUUCGUCAGAACAGAAAGCCAAGGAGAGUCUACUUACUUUUAUAAAUGAGAAGGGAGAAAUGGCAACAAUGGACAGAGAGAAGGCUGAGGCACUGAACAAAUUUUUUGCCUUGGUCUUCACUGACUGUCAAGCUACCCACUUCUCUUACAUCCCUGAACCUCUAGGUGGGAGCUGGAGAAGUGUAAUCACUGAUACUGUAAAGGAAAAGCAAGACUGAAACCACCUGACGUGAAUGAAUAUGCACAAGUUCAUGGGGCCAGAAGACAUGCACCUCAGGAUCCUGAAUGGACUGACUGAUACGGUUGCCAAGCUGCUCUCAAUCAUCUCUGAAAAGUCAUGGCUGCUAGGUGAAGUCCCCAUUGUCAGGAAAAGAGGAAAUAUCACUCUCAUUUUUAAGGAAGAUAGAAAAGAAGACUCAAGAAACUACAGGCCAAUGAGCCCCAUGUCUGUGCCUGGAAAGAUCAUGGAGCAGAUAUUUCUGGACGAGAUGCUAAGGCGCAAGUGAGACAAAGAGGUGAACUGAGAAAGCCAGCAUGGAUUCACCAAGGGUAGAUCAUGCCUGACCAACGCAGUAGCCUUUAAGGAUGGAGUGACACCAUCAGUAGACAAAGGAAGAACAACUGGUUUCACAUACCUGGACUUCUGCAAAGCCUUUAAUAUGGUCCUGCACCACAUUCUUACCUCUAAAUUGGAGAGAGAUUGAUUUCAAGGGUGGACUAUUAUGUGGAUGCAAAAUUGGUUGCAUGAUGGAAGUCAAAGAGUUGUUAUCAAUGGAUAUCAGGUGAAGGCCAGUGAUGGAUGGUACUCCACAGAGGACUAUCUUGGGACUGGUGCCCUUUAAUGUCUAUAUCAAUGUUCUGGACAGUGGGUUGAGCAUCCCCUUAGUAACUAUGCAGACCAUACAAAGCUGAAUGGUGCACUAGAUAUAACUUAAGGAACGGAUGCUAUCCAGAAGGACCUGGACAAGCUUGAAGAGUGGACCCACAUGAACCAGAUGAUACAACCCAAACAAAGCCAUUCUGAAAAGCAAAUGCUAUAUUCAAGCAUGAGUUAAAAGGAAGUCAAUCACAAAUACUUUUUAUCUUAAAGAAAAAUUGUUCUUUAAACGUAAUAGACACCAGGAACUCAUUCAAUACCUGAGCAGACAAAUGAAUUGAACUUCCAUUUUACAGUUAAACAGCUGUAAUAGCUUAUUCUUUUCAAAACACCAACCUAUCUACCUUAAACAGGUUUCAUGUCUAGAUGAAAAAAAAGCAUGGUGGUAUGUAGAUCACAUGGAAGUAAACAGAUCCAGAACAGACCAGCUAUCCCAACAGUGUGAAAUGAAUCUUUCAUUUGUAUUGCAGGAAAACUGGAGGACUCAGUUUUUUCAAAAGUUGCCAACCUCUCAUUUUCAACAUGGUAGCUGAAAGUGAUUUCUUUGCUAUAGCUUUUCCUUAGGGAAAUCUGAAGUGAUGUGUGUGAGCACAGAGCUUGGAAAUUGUGCCUGAUGCUCAGCUCUUUAAUUCACAUUGGCUCUCUGUGAUGUAGGCAGCCUUCCCCAGUUCUUGCACCUCAACAAGUAAACAAAGGUAAAGGAAAAAUUGUAACUGACAAGGAGUUAUAAGAAGAGCCGAUGAAAAGCAAACAUGCAUAAAAAAAUACCCUUUGUGAAAUGUUCCGAAGGUCACUAAUGAAAGCACAAUUGAGGAAAAAAAUUACAGGUUGUUUUUUUUUUUUUUUUUUAAUCUUUGGCCUUGUUCCUUGAACCAUGAAUAAAUCCACUUGGAGUGUUUUAGAAGCCAUUAUUAUGCUAUAGUCAAACACAGCAUAUCAAAAUAUUCCUAACUUUUCACAUUAGACAGUACUACAGGUUCUUGCUGUUCAAAAAGGAAAUGUUCUGUGAAUUAUUAUUUGUACUGCUUCUGGGGUUAAAGAUGAGCAUUGUAGAUUCCUUAACAGAACCUGAACACUACACUGUUAUAUAAAUAUUUUAGUCAUGAUGAACAAACGUUUCAAUGUUUCUUGAAUGUUUUCAAAGGUUCCAAACGUUAUUUCCACUUGCGUGGAAGAAGCAGACUGCACAUUGUUUGAUGCCUGUAAUGCAGACACAGACAAUGGAUUUUUCCUGUGCAGUUUCAAGGCUUAGGAAGACAUCUGCACAGCUGGCACAGGACACUCCAACAUUUAAGAAGACCUUCCAUUUAGGUCUUGAGGAAGUGAGUCCAUUCUUCAGCAUGCUGCUGGCCUCACAUGUGGUGACAAGCACAGAUUUGUUUGGUGCUCUGAGGAGAUCUUCAGAACCAGGUUUCCCUGGCAUGGCACCCAGGGGUCUGCCAGAUGGUUUUGAGACAAUGGGGAAACUCAGCAAAAUAAGUCAAAUGAGACCAGCACAACAAAAUAAAUCUUCAUAUAAACAUAGCUAUAUUGCCUCUGUAUCUGAACACAAACAUUUAGAACCAGUUCCUGUGUUUCUGGCAACCUCCACACUUAGCCUUGUGGCAUGACUCAAGCUACCUCUGAAGCAAAACUGAAGGAUAUUAGCAUCAGGAUGAUGAAAACACUGUGUUAAAGGGAGGGAUGAGGUGUCUGAGGUGCCAACAGUGCUGGGAAAUAACCUCUGCUUAUCCUUGUUGUCGAUGGCAGAGAUGGCUGGAGGCCUCAGCCUUCAGGGGCUGAGGGAAGUGUAGUUUUCUUAUUUUAAUUAAGCAUAUCUUAAAAGACUACAUCUGGUUUUCUGACCAUGAUGGAAAGUAGCUGAAUUUACACUUUUGUAACUACUGGGUUUAAUUUAUACUGGAUGUCAAGAAUUUAUGAGAGGAAAAAUCUGAUAGAUAAAACAGAAAUCAAAGACUUGAUAAGUCUGUGUUAAAGUCUGCAAACCAGAAGGAAUUGGGAGCUUCUUUUUCUUGUUUUGGAAAACUACUUAGGAAUUUUAUGGGAUGAUGAGUCAACAUGGAAUUAGAAUCCAUCAGAAAAUGAUGAGUCCCAAUGCCUCUCUGGCUCUAUCUAUGAAUGAGAGCUUGCAAGUUCUUCUGUACAGAGCAAAAGGCAGCCAGAAAGAGAAGCAGGAGCAUGAUGCCAGAAACUGCACCCAAACCACGGAACUUCCUCCAGAGAAACCUUUCUCAGUGAGCCAUAUCUGAACCUGGAAAGACAGGAGACAGAUCACUCCAUGCUUCAUGUGUCAGGAGCCAGCCAAUAUCCUGAGGAUAAUAAAGGAAAGUCUUUAAGCAGCCAACAGUAUCUCUCCAGGGCUCAACCAGAUAAACCGGGCAAGCAUGCGCUGGUCCUGCUCCAAUAACUGGGUGUUAUGGAGUAUGGUAGGAACACCACAUCCUUAGUUUCCCCAUUCCCUCCUGUCCCACAUGGAUGGGGUCUGGCUCAGGCCAAUCGUUAGCUCAGAGAAGUUUCAUCCUGGCCAGGUCUCAGCUUGGUCUCUGUUAUCAAGUCAGCCAAGCUUGCAACUUCUUAUGUAGGCAAUAAAUGUGGAAGUGGUCAUUUACAGCAUUACUGAAGAAUGGAAAAUAGAGUGAUACCUGUACUUGGCUAUCAAACCAAAGUGUAUCAGCCAAAAAGCAUCAUGUUUUGAAGUACAUGAAUGUAGCCUCCUGAAAUCCAAAACUUCUGCAGAUUAUUCUUUGACAUAUACCUUGAGAUUUUGUUUACUAUUGUGUGCACUAAGGGAAAACUAAAAUCAGUUAAAGCUAUUUUCUUGGCUUCCUUCCAAAUGUGUUAACUUUGUGCUGAGUCGCAUAUUGUUAAAAUUUCUUUAACCAUAAAGGCAUCACAGAAACCUUCGUCUCUCCACACAGCAGAGAGCUUCGAAAGGCCAGAUCUUCAUGUCUAUUCCUAGGACGAUUAUUUGUACCCACAAACACAGUGACAAAGCAGUGGCAGAGAGCUGGUGCUGCUCUCCAAAAGAUGUUUGUAAGAUUCCCACUCCUCACUUCAGAGAAGAGUCAGUUCUGAUUCAGUGUCAGAUCUCAGUACUUGAAUACUACCAUCAAUAUCACACAGAUUUUUGGCUUACAUUCUUGUAGUGUAGACUGACUUCAUCUGUUUGACAUUUAAGCUACAUUUUAUAGCGUUUAUCCUAAUCUAAGCAUGCUUGCAGUUGCCCAUCCAACUAUUUACCCAAUGAGAACAUUGCCUUUGAGCAGGAUAAAUUUGCCAAAAUCUAAGGUGACCCUCCUAGCACAAGUGUACAAUUUAUUAAGGCUGACUUAAGGAAAAAAAUUAAAUCUGUUUUUGUUACAAACCAAAACACACAAUGACAUCAACAAAUGUAGUAAAGCAAAGAAAUCCUCAAGGGAAGCGCUGUUACAAAUGGAAUUGAUUUCUCCAACGUGGAACUCUUUUCUCUGGUACCCAACAUGAUGUUUUCCUGGAAAGGUGUCUUUUAACAGUCAUGUAAGAAAUCUAGUUUUUGAGAUCAAUUUAAAAAUCGAAACAUUAAAAAAAAAAGAAAUAAAUUUACUCUUCUGAGAAAACAAAAC